GACUUAAAGUCUCCUGAAGGAACGUUGAAGACGACGACGUUGAUAGGCCGGGUGUGUAAGCGCAGCGAUGCGUUGAGCUAACCGGUACUAAUGAACCGUGAGGCUUAACCUUACAACGCCGAAG
rnacentral:rRNA from 1 species